AGUGAACGCUGGCGGUAGGCCUAACACAUGCAAGUCGAACGGCAGCACAGGACAGCUUGCUCUCUGGGUGGCGAGUGGCGGACGGGUGAGGAAUACAUCGGAAUCUGCCCAGUCGUGGGGGAUAACGUAGGGAAACUUACGCUAAUACCGCAUACGACCUUCGGGUGAAUGAGGGGGAUCGCAAGACCUCUCGCGAUUGGAUGCGCCGAUGUCGGAUUAGCUAGUUGGCGGGGUAAUGGCCCACCAAGGCGACGAUCCGUAGCUGGUCUGAGAGGAUGAUCAGCCACACUGGAACUGAGACACGGUCCAGACGCCUACGGGAGGGAGCAGUGGGGAAUAUUAGACAAUGGGCGCAAGCCUGAUCCAGCCAUACCGCGUGGGUGAAGAAGGCCUUCGGGGUGUAAAGCCGUUUUGUUGGGAAAGAAAUCUUUCAGGCUAAUACCCUGGGAGGAUGACGGUACCCAAAGAAUAAGCACCGGCUAACUUCGUG
rnacentral:rRNA from 1 species